CUGCAACUGUAACAGUUUGUUGUUUUUUAGUGAAGCGAAGUUUUUUCAUUUUAAUAAAAAUGAAACUCUUUUGCUUCUCUAAUAAAUACAAAUUCAUUCUUCCUAACAGUAUAUA